rnacentral:tRNA from 1 species
GCUCCGGUGGUGGAAUUGGCAGACACACCGCACUCAAAAUGCGGCGCCGAAAGGCAUGCGGGUUCAAGUCCCGCCCGGAGUACCA